AUGUCGAUGGGUAUUGCAUAUUCGAAAUUUUGUUGAAAUUGAAGUGAAUUUUAAAAUAUUGUAAAAAAAAUAAUUAUUUCAGAUUCGAAUUUUUAAGUUUAGAUUUUAUAUUUUUAGUCGAAUUCGAAUUUGGGAUAUAAAUUUUUAAAAUUCGUCGGAUUUAAAUUCAAAAUUUUUUUUUUGAAAGAAAGGUAGCAUAUUAUUGGUAGGUGAAUUCGAAUUCGAAUUUUUAAAAAUUUA
rnacentral:lncRNA from 1 species